rnacentral:rRNA from 1 species
CCUACGGGAGGCAGCAGUGAGGAAUAUUGGUCAAUGGACGAGAGUCUGAACCAGCCACGUAGCGUGAAGGAUGAAUGCCCUCUGGGUUGUAAACUUUUUUUAUAUGGGAAUAAAAUGUUCCACGUGUGGGAUUUUGUAUGUACCAUAUGAAUAAGGAUCGGCUAACUCCGUGCCAGCAGCCGCGGUAAUACGGAGGGUCCGAGCGUUAUCCGGAUUUAUUGGGUGUAAAGGGAGCGUAGGUGGAUUGUUAAGUCAGUUGUGAAAGUUUGCGGCUCAACCGUAACAUUGCAGUUGAAACUGGGAGUCUUGAGUACAGUAGAGGUGGGCGGAAUUCGUGGUGUAGCGGUGAAAUGCUUAGAUAUCACGAAGAACUCCGAUUGCGAAGGCAGCUCACUGGACUGCAACUGACACUGAGGCUCGAAAGUGUGGGUAUCAAACAGGAUUAGAUACCCCGGUAGUC